rnacentral:rRNA from 1 species
GUCCUAGUUACCAGCACGUUAUGUGGGCACUCUAAGGAGACUGCCGGUGACAAACCGGAGGAAGUGGGGAUGACGUCAAGUCAUCAUGGCCCUUACGGCCUGGGCUACACACGUGCUACAAUGGUCGGUACAAAGGGUUGCCAAGCCGCGAGGUGGAGCUAAUCCCAUAAAACCGAUCGUAGUCCGGAUCGCAGUCUGCAACUCGACUGCGUGAAGUCGGAAUCGCUAGUAAUCGUGAAUCAGAAUGUCACGGUGAAUACGUUCCCGGGCCUU